GAUGAACGCUGGCGGCGUGCUUAACACAUGCAAGUCGAACGAAACACCUUAUUUGAUUUUCUUCGGAACUGAAGAUUUGGUGAUUGAGUGGCGGACGGUUGAGUAACGCGUGGGUAACCUGCCCGGUACAGGGGGAUAACAGGCAGAAAUGACUUCUAAUACCGCAUAAGACCACAGCACCGCAUGGGGCAGGGGUAAAAACGCCGGUGGUACAGGAUGGACCGGCGUCUGAUUAGCUGGUUGGUGAGGUAACGGCGCACCAAGGCGACGAUCAGUAGCCGGCUUGAGAGAGUGAACGGGCACAUUGGGACUGAGACACGGACCAAACUCCUACGGGAGGCAGCAGUGGGGAAUAUUGCACAAUGGGGGAAACCCUAAUGAAGCGACGCUGCGUGAGUGAAGCAGUAUUUCGGUAUGUAAAGCUCUAUCAGCAGGGAAGAAAAUGACGGUACCUGACUAAGAAGCCCCGGCUAACUACGUG
rnacentral:rRNA from 1 species